rnacentral:rRNA from 1 species
GAGUGCAAAGGCAGAAGGGAGCUUGACUGCGACACCGACGGGUGGAGCAGGUACGAAAGUAGGACUUAGUGAUCCGGUGGUAUAAAGUGGGAUUGCCAUCGCUCAACGGAUAAAAGCUACCCUGGGGAUAACAGGCUUAUCACUCCCAAGAGUUCACAUCGACGGAGUGGUUUGGCACCUCGAUGUCGGCUCAUCGCAUCCUGGGGCUGAAGUAGGUCCCAAGGGUUGGGCUGUUCGCCCAUUAAAGCGGUACGCGAGCUGGGUUCAGAACGUCGUGAGACAGUUCGGUCCCUAUCCGGCGUGGGCGUAGGAUAUUUGAGAGGAGCUGCCCUUAGUACGAGAGGACCGGGGUGGACUGGCCGCUGGUGGAUCUGUUGCACUGCCAAGUGCAUGGCAGAGUAGCCAAGCCGGGACGGGAUAAACGCUGAAGGCAUCUAAGCGUGAAGCCCCCCUCAAGAUGAGAUAUCCCAACGGAAGUUGUAAGACCCCUUGAAGACGACGAGGUAGAUAGGACAGAGGUGGAAGUGCAGUAAUGUAUGGAGCUGACUGUUACUAAUCGGUCGAGGGCAUAACCAA